GACGAACGCUGGCGGCGUGCUUAACACAUGCAAGUCGAACGGAAAGGCCCUGCUUUUGUGGGGUGCUCGAGUGGCGAACGGGUGAGUAACACGUGAGUAACCUGCCCUGGACUUUGGGAUAACUUCAGGAAACUGGGGCUAAUACCGGAUAGGAGCUCCUGCUGCAUGGUGUGGGUUGGAAAGUUUCGGCGGUUGGGGAUGUACUCGCGGCUUAUCAGCUUGUUGGUGGGGUAGUGGCUUACCAAGGCUUUGACGGGUAGCAGGCCUGAGAGGGUGAGCGGCCACAUUGGGACUGAGAUACGGCCCAGACUCCUACGGGAGGCAGCAGUGGGGAAUAUUGAACAAUGGGCGGAAGCCUGAUGCAGCAACGCCGAGUGCGGGAUGACGGCCUUCGGGUUGUAAACCGCUUUCGCCUGUGACGAAGCGUGAGUGACGGUAAUGGGUAAAGAAGCACCGGCUAACUACGUG
rnacentral:rRNA from 1 species